rnacentral:rRNA from 1 species
CUACGUGCCAGCAGCCGCGGUAAUACGGAAGGUCCAGGCGUUAUCCGGAUUUAUUGGGUUUAAAGGGUGCGUAGGCCGUUUGAUAAGCGUGCUGUGAAAUAUAGUGGCUCAACCUCUAUCGUGCAGCGCGAACUGUCGAACUUGAGUGCGUAGUAGGUAGGCGGAAUUCGUGGUGUAGCGGUGAAAUGCUUAGAUAUCACGAAGAACUCCGAUUGCGAAGGCAGCUUACCGUAACGUUACUGACGCUUAAGCACGAAGGUGCGGGUAUCGAACAGGAUUAGAUACCCUGGUAGUCCGCACAGUAAACGAUGGAUGCUCGCUGUUGGCCUUUUUGGUCAGUGGCUUAGCGAAAGCGUUAAGCAUCCCACCUGGGGAGUACGCCGGCAACGGUGAAACUCAAAGGAAUUGACGGGGGCCCGCACAAGCGGAGGAACAUGUGGUUUAAUUCGAUGAUACGCGAGGAACCUUACCCGGGCUUGAACUGCAGCUGAACGAUUCAGAGA